UACGUAGGGCGCAAGCGUUAUCCGGAAUUAUUGGGCGUAAAGAGCUCGUAGGCGGUUUGUCGCGUCUGCCGUGAAAGUCCGGGGCUCAACUCCGGAUCUGCGGUGGGUACGGGCAGACUAGAGUGAUGUAGGGGAGACUGGAAUUCCUGGUGUAGCGGUGAAAUGCGCAGAUAUCAGGAGGAACACCGAUGGCGAAGGCAGGUCUCUGGGCAUUAACUGACGCUGAGGAGCGCAAGCAUGGGGAGCGAACCGG
rnacentral:rRNA from 1 species